CCAAUAGCGUAUAUUAAAGUUGUUGCAGUUAAAAAGCUCGUAGUUGGAUUUCGGGGUUAGUACGCUGGUCGUGCCUUCGGUAUGUACUGGUGUUACUGAUUCCUACCUUCUGAAGAACCGUCAUGUCAUUAAUUUGGUGUGGCGGGGAAUCAGGACUGUUACUUUGAAAAAAUUAGAGUGUUUAAAGCAGGCUCGCGCUUGAAUACAUUAGCAUGGCAUAAUGAAAUAGGACGUUUGAUCCUAUUUUGUUGGUUUCUAGGAUUGACGUAAUGAUUAAUAGGGAUAGUUGGGGGCAUUAGUAUUCAAUUGUCAGAGGUGAAAUUCUUUGAUUUAUUGAAGACUAACUACUGCGAAAGCAUUUGCCAAGGAUGUUUUCAUUAAUCAAGAACGAAAGUUAGGGGAUCGAAGACGAUCGGAUACCGUCGUAGUCUUAACCAUAAACUAUGCCGACUAGGGAUCGGAUGAUGUUAAUUUUUUAAUGACUCAUUCGGCGCCUUACG
rnacentral:rRNA from 1 species